rnacentral:tRNA from 1 species
CGAAAAGUAGCUUAACAAAAGCACUCUACUUACAAUUGAGUUAUGUUAGUUUGACCCUAACCUUUUUCA